rnacentral:tRNA from 1 species
GCAGGAGUAUCGAAGCUAGGCCAACCGAGAAGGACUCAAGAUCCUUUCUCUAAGGAGUUCGUGGGUUCAAAUCCCACCUCCUGCA